AUUGAACGCUGGCGGCAUGCUUUACACAUGCAAGUCGAACGGCAGCGCGGGCUUCGGCCUGGCGGCGAGUGGCGAACGGGUGAGUAAUGCAUCGGAACGUGCCCAGUCGUGGGGGAUAGCCCGGCGAAAGCCGGAUUAAUACCGCAUACGACAUGAGGGUGAAAGCGGGGGACCGAAAGGCCUCGCGCUAUUGGAGCGGCCGAUGUCGGAUUAGCUAGUUGGUGGGGUAAAGGCUUACCAAGGCGACGAUCCGUAGCUGGUCUGAGAGGACGACCAGCCACACUGGGACUGAGACACGGCCCAGACUCCUACGGGAGGCAGCAGUGGGGAAUUUUGGACAAUGGGGGCAACCCUGAUCCAGCCAUGCCGCGUGCGGGAAGAAGGCCUUCGGGUUGUAAACCGCUUUUGUUCGGGAAGAAAUCCUCUGGGCUAAUACCCCGGGGGGAUGACGGUACCGGAAGAAUAAGCACCGGCUAACUACGUG
rnacentral:rRNA from 1 species